AAACGGUGCUUUGCCACCAGCUGCAGCCUGAAGGAAGGACCUGUUUCCCCACAUUCAGGACCAGAGCUCCUAGAAAUGAGGAGCUGUUAGGAAGCUGUCCGUUUUCAUUAAAAAAAAAAAGGGUAGCAAGAGCUCCCCAAGCAGCUCAGAAUCCUCCCUGGGCUGGACAAGCAGGCUCAGUCUGCAGGCUCCAGCCAAGGUGAGGUGGGAGCAAGGCUUGGGCAGCCCCUCCAGCCCUGGGCACGGAUCUUGCCAAGCCAGCCGCGGGCAAAUGUCACCAGGAAUGAUUUUUUAAAAAUCAGACGAUUUCACAAGAGAUUCGGAGGGACUCUGCAAAUGUUCUGAGAGCCUGGGAAAGGCAAGGGCUGAUUUAAGCGUGUUGUGGAGAUUAAACUCGCUUGGCACAUGGAAAUGUGUUUAUACAACUGAUGGAUAAACAGCCGUGCUGGUAGCAGGGUGUUGAAUAAGUAUAGAUGAAAUUAUUGAACGUUAAUUGAAGCAAAACACCUGUUCUCUGCUCACUAGAUGGAUUGGCCAUGUCUUACCUGUAAUAAAUAUAUUGGUGGAAUAAAA
rnacentral:lncRNA from 1 species